rnacentral:rRNA from 1 species
GGGCCCGCACAAGCGGUGGAGUAUGUGGUUUAAUUCGAUGCAACGCGAAGAACCUUACCAGGGUUUGACAUCCUGCGAAUCUCUUGGAAACUUGAGAGUGCCUUCGGGAGCGCAGUGACAGGUGGUGCAUGGCUGUCGUCAGCUCGUGUCGUGAGAUGUUGGGUUAAGUCCCGCAACGAGCGCAACCCACGUCUUUAGUUGCCAGCAUUUAGUUGGGCACUCUAGAGAGACCGCCGGUGAUAAACCGGAGGAAGGUGUGGAUGACGUCAAGUCAUCAUGCCCCUUACAUCCUGGGCUACACACGUACUACAAUGCUACGGACAAAGGGCAGCAAGUUCGCGAGGACAAGCAAAUCCCAUAAACCGUGGCUCAGUUCAGAUCGUAGGCUGCAACUCGCCUACGUG